AAACUCAAAUGAAUUGACGGGGACCCGCACAAGCGGUGGAGCAUGUGGUUUAAUUCGAAGCAACGCGAAGAACCUUACCAAGUCUUGACAUCGGAAUGACCGGUCCGUAACGGGGCCUUCCCUACGGGGCAUUCCAGACAGGUGGUGCAUGGUUGUCGUCAGCUCGUGUCGUGAGAUGUUGGGUUAAGUCCCGCAACGAGCGCAACCCUUAUCCUUAGUAGCCAGCAGUUCGGCUGGGCACUCUGGGGAGACUGCCAGGGAUAACCUGGAGGAAGGUGGGGAUGACGUCAAAUCAUCAUGCCCCUUAUGAUUUGGGCUACACACGUGCUACAAUGGCGUAAACAAAGGGAAGCGAAGGAGUGAUCCGGAGCAAAUCUCAAAAAUAACGUCUCAGUUCGGAUUGUAGUCUGCAACUCGACUACAUGAAGCUGGAAUCGCUAGUAAUCGCGGAUCAGAAUGCCGCGGUGAAUACGUUCCCGGGUCUUGUACACACCGCCCGUCACACCAUGGGAGUUGGUAACGCCCGAAGUCAGUGACCCAACCGUAAGGAGGGAGCUGCCGAAGGCGGGACUGAUAACUGGGGUGAAGUCGUAACAAGGUAGCCGUAUCGGAAGGUGCGGCUGGAUCACCUCCUUU
rnacentral:rRNA from 1 species